rnacentral:rRNA from 1 species
UACAUGGGGUGCAAACGUUGCUCGGAAUUAUUGGGCGUAAAGCGCACGUAGGCGGUUUGUUAAGUCGGAUGUGAAAGCCCUCGGCUCAACUGAGGAAGUGCACCCGAAACUGGCAGGCUUGAGUACUAAAGAGGGUCGCGGAAUUCCCGGUGUAGAGGUGAAAUUCGUAGAUAUCGGGAGGAACACCGGUGGCGAAGGCGGCGACCUGGGUAGAUACUGACGCUGAGACGCGAAAGCGUGGGGAGCAAACAGG